rnacentral:rRNA from 1 species
UACAGAGGGGGCAAGCGUUGUUCGGAAUUACUGGGCGUAAAGGGCGCGUAGGCGGCCGCCUAAGUCAGACGUGAAAUCCCCAGGCUUAACUUGGGAACUGCGUCUGAUACUGGGUGGCUUGAGUUCGGGAGAGGGAAUGUGGAAGUUACCACGGUGUAGCGGUGAAAUGCGUAGAUAUCUGGAGGAACACCGGUGGCGAAGGCGGCAUCCUGGACCAACACUGACGCUGAGGAGCGAAAGCCAGGGGAGCAAACGGG